GCUACCGUAGCUCAACUGGCAGAGCAGCGGUUUUGUAAACCGCAGGUUGCGAGUUCGAUUCUCGCCGGUAGCU
rnacentral:tRNA from 1 species